UACAUAGGUCUCGAGCGUUAUCCGGAAUUACUGGGCGUAAAGUGCGCGUAGGUGUUUGUUUAAGUUACUGGUUAAAUCUGAUAGCUCAACUAUCAAACCGCCAGUAAUACUGAAUGAAUUGAGGUGUGCAGGGGCAAGCGGAAUUUCCAGAGUAGAGGUGAAAUUCGUUGAUACUGGAAAGAACAUCAAUGGCGAAGGCAGCUUGCUGGGCACUACCUGACACUGAGGCGCGAAAGCGUGGGGAGCAAACGGG
rnacentral:rRNA from 1 species